AAUGAACGCUGGCGGCAGGCCUAACACAUGCAAGUCGAACGAGUGGCGGACGGGUGAGUAAUGGCUGGGAAACUGCCUGAUGGAGGGGGAUAACUACGGGAAACGGUAGCUAAUACCGCAUACCAUCGGAUGUGCCCAGAUGGGAUUAGCGAGUAGGUGGGGUAAAGGCUCACCUAGGCGACGAUCCCUAGCUGGUCUGCGAGGAUGACCGGCCAAACUGGAGCUGAGACACGGUCCAGACUCCUACGGGAGGCAGCAGUGGGGAAUAUUUCACAAUGGGCGCAAGCCUGAUGCAGCCAUGCCGCGUGUAUGAAGAAGGCCUUCGGGUUGUAAAGUUCUUUCGGCCGGGAGGCGUUACCCGCAGAAGAAGCACCGGCUAACUCCGUGCCAGCAGCCGCGGUAAUAC
rnacentral:rRNA from 1 species